GCCGGCAGGCCUUACACAUGCAAGUCGAGCGGAAACGAGUUAUCAGAACCUUCGGGGAACGAUAACGGCGUCGAGCGGCGGACGGGUGAGUAAUGCCUAGGAAAUUGCCCUGAUGUGGGGGAUAACCAUUGGAAACGAUGGCUAAUACCGCAUGAUGCGACGGGCCAAAGAGGGGGACCUUCGGGCCUCUCGCGUCAGGAUAUGCCUAGGUGGGAUUAGCUAGUUGGUGAGGUAAGGGCUCACCAAGGCGGCGAUCCCUAGCUGGUCUGAGAGGAUGAUCAGCCACACUGGAACUGAGACACGGUCCAGACUCCUACGGGAGGCAGCAGUGGGGAAUAUUGCACAAUGGGCGCAAGCCUGAUGCAGCCAUGCCGCGUGUGUGAAGAAGGCCUUCGGGUUGUAAAGCACUUUCAGUCGUGAGGAAGGUGGUGUAGUUAAUAGCUGCAUUAUUUGACGUUACCGACAGAAGAAGCACCGGCUAACUCCGUGCCAGCAGCCGCGGUAAUACGGAGGGUGCGAGCGUUAAUCGGAAUUACUGGGCGUAAAGCGCAUGCAGGUGGUUUGUUAAGUCAGAUGUGAAAGCCCGGGGCUCAACCUCGGAAUUGCAUUUGAAACUGGCAGACUAGAGUACUGUAGAGGGGGGUAGAAUUUCAGGUGUACCGGUGAAAUGCGUAGAGAUAGGAAGGAAUACCGGUGGCGAAGGCGGCCCCCUGGACAGAUACUGACACUCAGAUGCGAAAGCGUGGGGAGCAACCAGGAUUAGAUACCCUGGUAGUCCACCCCGUAAACGAUGUCUACUUGGAGGUUGGGCCUUGACCCGGGGUUUCGCAGCUAACGCGU
rnacentral:rRNA from 1 species